rnacentral:tRNA from 1 species
CCUGCCCCGGGCGAUUUUAUAAAGGAUUUAUUUAAUUUAAUGAAAUUUCUCUUUUUUUUGAUAAAAGUAUUU